UCACGUCUGUUUGGUUCAAAUCAAGUUAAAAUUGAGUUCAAAUAAGUUUAAGUCAUAGCUCCAAACUUAUUGUUAUGGAAAAUUUCAAUUGGGGACUUAUUUGAAAUCUUCCAAAUAUUUAUGGUCAAAAUGCAAUUUUUUGAAAUAUAGAACAAAAAUGUAUGGGAUGAAAGUGAAAUAUCUAAAUAUUUGUGCGGGUAGUGCAAAAUUUAAGAAAAGAAGAAGGGGCAAAUGAAAAAUUAAAGAAAAUGUAAAAAUAAAAAUAAAAGAAAAAUAAAUAAAUACAUUUCCC
rnacentral:lncRNA from 1 species